GAGAUACAUGAAUAAUGAGAACGGCAGAGUUAAAAUAUCGAAUAGAAUGUGUUUGUAUGUAGGUUAGGUUUACUUUAUUGCAGUUAUAUUGACUAAAAUUAAUAAAAGAAAAAAUAAUAUCGACAAUCUAUGCGAUGUUUGUGAACAGCAGGUCCCCAUCCAACUUAUAACGGCAUUAAGGACAAGUUCGGUAGUGAGGCGACCAUGGCGCAGUUGAUUGCACGACUAGAGGGUCUUGUCCGGGAUUUCCCGAGACAAAAAUCCCGGGAAAUCCCGGGAUUCAAAACAUCCCGAAUCCCGGGAUAGUUUUCCGUGAUUCCCGGGAUUUCCCGAAAAUGUUAAAAAUACUUUAGUAUUUUCUACUAAAGUAUAACUGUUCACUCUAAAUCUUUUUAUCAAUAUUUCCAUUUUUACACUAGAUAUGUUAGAACAUAUCUGGUAAGUCCAAUGGCAAUACUUUUCUGAGAACUUUUCGGCAGAAUAUCAGAAUGUGAAUUCUGUGUAUUUCUUCAGUCUAUUAGGGGAAUUGGGGGUGAUAUAAACACCCUAAGCGUUUGUCGUCUUUUCCAAUAGAAAUGUGACAAAAUCUUUCUUUUUUAUCCUGUUACAUCGUAGAUGGUAAUAUAUUCUAAGAGUUCUAGAAGAACAUAUUGAUGAAAAAUACAAUUUUCUUACAUUAUUUUCGAUUGCAAAAUAUGUAAGCAAGAAAACAGAGUCAUGAAAAAUAGUGUGGGUAAAAUGAACAAUUAAUUGGGGUAAAAUGAACAUGUCUUAAAAAACUAGCUUAAAUGUUUAAUUUCGAUAUAUUCAAGUGUAGGUCAACAAAUUCAAUGUAAACUUUAUAUGCUACACUUUUAAAACUUUUGAUUUAAAAUUUGGAAUGUGUUGAAAUCAUUAUUUGUAAAAAGGUACUAAAAUAAGCGAUUUUUAGGAUAAAAAUCUUAUUUUAUAAGCGUAAAAUAUUUUUUUCUCAACUUUUUGCUCUAGUUGUGUCAUAAUAUGUAUUCUAGAUUUCAAUAUACCGAGAUUGAACAAAAUUUUAUAAAAUAUGGAUGAAAUUUGAACCAGCUGUUCAUUUUACCCCCAAGUCGUGCUGGUUUUAAAGUUGUUCCUAAAAUGGUAUUGAAAGCACAACCUAAUUAUUUUUUUCAACUGAAUACUGUCUUUUGGGAGUAAAUUAUUGGAAUAUGACAUUACAUAUGUCAUAAUCUGCGAAAAAUAUACGAAUGGACCUUAAUUCGGAUAAGUUCAAUUUUACAUCAGAGCAAUUUUUUAAAGUGGUUUUUGAACUUUUCGUUAUAAUCAAGUGGUUUAUUUAAUUUUAAAGUUCAAAAUCUGCAGAAGUAUAAUGAUUUACGCUAUCACACAGAAUCCAAUCGUUAAAACAUACGGAAAUACGCUAAAUGCUGUAAAACACCACCCUGUUCAUUUUAACCACAAUUCCCCUAUUAGUUUAUUCCUGGGACGGGACGUGACAGCUCAGUGGUACAAACCCUCCUAUUAUUUUAGUUAGAGUUCAUAGGGGGGUUACUUUAGUGUUGUCAAUAAUAUUCACAUGGAAAUAAACCACUUCGAUUGGAAAUAAACCACUUCGAUUAUUUUCACAAUUUAUCACUUUGUACUAUAUUUCACUAUGUUAGUUCCGAAAUAAAACAGCACAGAAAGUGAGACAAAUGAUAAAUUUCACUAGUCAUCAACUGUCAUCAAUACGAGGUUUAAGAAAUUUGUGACUACUAGCAACACGGAUAACUUAACAACAAAGUGCCCUCUUGUAAACAAACGUGAAGCGAUGCUACGCUGCUUUUGUCAAAUCUACCAAUCAAAAGUGGUCUUUUCUGACAAGAAAAUGGUUUCGUAUUUGCACUAGCACCUGACGGGUCCCGUCCCAGGGUUAAUCUGGUAAUAAUCCUAGAAUUUAUGUAUAUUUGUAGUAGCAAAGCCAUAAUUGACAGAUUUCUUCAGAAAAUUUGAUGCUAGAUUUGAUGCAGAUUCAGAAGGACAGCAUACAUUUUUUCAGAUGUUAUUGGAGAAAUCCCUUAAUCUAUUGAUAUUUUCAGAAUAUGAGCGGUUACUUGACGCAUUUUCUACAGAAUUACGGCGACGAGUUAAAGUUAACUAAAUUAAUCUUAGUUGUAUCAUUCGCAGACUUUUUAGAGGCCUAUAAGAUAACAAAAUUGAUAAAAGUUUCCAACGGAACUUCUAUAGGACUUUAUUACAUAAUCUCUGGAAUAUGCCGUAAAGGGGUCUCCAGUUAGCCUAGUGGUUAAGGCUAUGGAUCGCCAAUCCGGAGACGGCGGGUUCGAUUCCCGUUCCGGUCGGGAAAAUUUUCUCGACUCUCUGAGCAUAGUGUAUCAUUGUAAUUGCCUCACAAGAUGCAGUGGCAGGCAAAGGAAGCCCUUCAAUUAAUAACUGUGGAAGUGCUCAAAGAACACUAAGUUGAAACGAGGCAGGCCAAGUCCCAGUUGGGACGUAGAGCCAUAAAGAAGAAGAAGAAGAAGAUGCCGUAAAGUCUAGAUUGAGUUUAAAUAAGGGCGAAAGUAACAUGAGAGAGUUCUCUUCAUCCACUCUCUCUUCUUCAAAUUAAAGUGACAAGAUGCAAGUAAGGUUGCACUUUUUGGUCAUAAAUCGCUAGGUUGCGAUGUAAUCUAGCGUCUAAGUGUAAAAAAGUUCGAUUGAAUUUGCAUCUUGCCACUUUAAUUUGCAGAAGAGAGAGUCGAUGAAGAGCCCUUAUUUAAACUCAAUCUAGAAGUUAUUGACGACGGAAUUCCUUACGAAAAGGGACUUCAACAGCCUAGGCAUGAGUCAAUAGAGAAAUUUCAAGUAGAAAUUUUGAAUAAAGUUCUAGAUUGUUCUUUUCCAACCUCCCGGAUUAAAAUAUUAUCGUGUUUGCCAAAACUUGAGAUGGAAAAUGUAUCCUGAUAGUAAUGGAAUACAAUUGUGGCAAAUAAUUGAUCAUUCAUAGCAAAAACAUUUGAAGAGACUGCUGAAGGUUAUGAUUUUGUCCAAAAAAACGAAGAAAUGUCAGUGGAGUUCCUAGAUGGAAUUGCCAAAGUCGUUUUAAAACGAAGAACCUUCUGGAGGAUUAUAAGGGUCUCUUAUGUACAGGGGUGGCCAAAAUGUUUGGGAUAGGCAACUUUUUUUCUCUCGCAAAAAAGUUCAACAUGCUGUAACUUUUCAUAGAGUGCAUCAAAGAUUCUCAAAUUUUGACUGUUUGACCUGUUAUAUGUGCAUCGUUGGUACAAAUUUGAGCCCGAUUGGGUGAUCUUUCGCGAAGCUAGAACCAUUCUCGUAAAACACUUUUUUUAGACAACCAAUUUUUGAGCUGUCAUAUCCCGGAGACCAGUGAACCGAAUUGGAUGAAUUUUUGAACGUUUAUCAACAAUAUAUUAAUGCUUGAAAAUUCCUAAAAACAUAGGUACUUUUCAAACGUUAAAAAAAGUUAUGAUGGAUUGACACUUUUAGGAUCUUUCUCGAAAAAAUGUAAAUUUUUCACAUCAAUGUCAUUAAAUUUUAUUUUUGAUAUUCAAAUAUUUUCUUCUUCUGCUCUUAUGAUAUUUAUAAUAAGAUAUAUUAGAGCCCAUUUAGAUUAAAGGAAGAACACAUUCAGUAUUUUUUGUGUGAGAUUGUAAAUUUGACUCAUUUUCCUCUAUAUGGGUGAAAAUUUCAAAUCAUCAUAACUUUUUUCAACGUUCAAAAAGUACCUAUGAUUUGAAGAAUUUUCAAGCAUCGAUAUAUUGUUGAUAAUCGCUCAAAAUUUCAUUUAAUUCGAUUCACUGGUCUCCGAGACAUGACAGCUCAAAAAAUUAGUCGUCCUAAUAAUAGUGUUUCACGAGAACGGUUCUAGCUUCGCGAAAAAUUAACCAAUCGAGCUCAAAUUUGUACCAAUGAUGCACAAACAGUCAAAAUUUGAAAAUUUUUGAUACACUCUAUGAAAAGUUACAUCAUGUUGAACUUUUUAGGAGAGAAAAAAAAGUUGCCUAUCCCAAACAUUUUGGCCACCCCCUGUAUUUUUUGAAAGAAUUUUUAUAACAUUUCAAUAACAACCUCAAGAAGCUGCAGAAAUUUGCAAAUCACUCUACAAAAUCUUUCCGCCAAAACUCCGCCAGAGAAAUUCUUAAAUUUAUGCCCAGAAAUAACAUAAGGAUAAACCUCAUGGAUUUAUUUAUCAAUUUCUCUAGGAAUUCUAUUGAGUCCUUAUUUAUUAUUCCCUCUCGGAACGUACAGAUAAUAAGCAAUGAUUUAAAAGAAUCCGACGAUAACUUUUCUUGUAAUUCUACCUAGAACUUUUUCAUGUCUGUCUCGAGUGUCUCAAGGCUAUUACGGUUUUCUCAAGAAAUUUUAUAAGCAAUCUCUUUAAAAUUUCUGUUAAAAACUUUAAUCAGACAAACGUGGCUUAACAGUCAAGAUAGCUUAUCCCAGAAGGAGAUGUCUGCUUCAUUAUAAAAUUUUCUAGCACCCUUGUCAUUUGAUUUAUUUCGGAUUGAAAAGAUGGCCUAAUAUUCUUAUAUUCAUACUCAUGCAACCAAUGCCCCGAAAAGCCGAAAUAAGACGAAAAAAGCCGGUAAAACCGCAAUGAUGUGUUAUUCAAAAAUUGAAUGAAUAUCGCACGAAUAACUCAAAGUAAUAUGAUAUAAGUUUUUGUGCUUGUCGAAAUAUCUGAAAAUUUCUACAUAAGAGCAAAUUUAGCUCUUUUGCACGAAACGAACCACAUACACUCAUAGAGAUGGCUCAGUGUUGGUGAAGUGCCAUGUGCUUCUUUCUGAACUGUGAAAACAAAGAACCGCAUGCUCUUAUUCCCAUGAUAUUCAUAACAGUGAGCCAUAAUUGAUUAGUAAGCAUCUCCGCCUGUGAAUCCUAAGGUCGUACACAGAAAAAAAUUGUAUAGUAAACACUACCACAGAAGUGUGUUCAAAUUUACCAUGGCUAAUUAUGGCGAUAAUAACAGACAACAUGGUCGCUUUGACUGAUUUGUAGUAAAAAAUACUAUUGUUCAGGCAGAAAUAGUAAAGUGGCGAUAACUACUUAUUGCAGUUAAAAAUACUAUGCAUUUUGGUAUCAGAAGUACUAUUUUUGUAGUAAACUUUACCAUGGGCGUGAUUAGUAUGAAGCAUUGCUACCAUGACGGAUUUUAUUUUACCACAUUUCUUGUCAACUCAAGCGUGUUGUACCAGCGUUUUUCAGCAGACAAUGCUUGCACUUAAAUUUACCACACUCAUGGUAAAUUUCUAUUCUGCUAGUUGAACUGACGUUUGCCCAUUUUGUGGAAUGAAAAGAGCAGUCAAAUUUGUUUGCAUGAACCUUUUUAAAAAUUAUUGAUUAAUUCAGUUUAAAUUUAGUAAAUAUUCCUUAAAAAGUGGAAAACCAAUUAGCAGUUUGGCAAACGCAGACGUAAAGGUGAGUCUAUUUCAUGCUGAUAAAAGCAAAUCUGGAAAUAUUUUUGAUUUCGUUCGCAGGUGAGAAGCAGGCGAUUUAAUCUCCAAGUGGAUUUUUCUUCAAUUUUUUAGAACUGCUAAAUAAAAAUAAAACUUCGGAAAGUUGUUUUUGAUCGUCUAGAGAAGACGGUGCACCAAGGGAGGCAGCAAACCACGUAUGAUGACUUCGAAAAUAUUGCUUGACAAAGAUUCCAAACUGCGAUCCGGUCAUAAUCCGACAACGAAGACUGGAUAGUGAAGAAUCUUAUUCAACAAUGUCUGGCGAAUUACGGACAAGAUUCCGCAUAAGUAAAAUGUAUGAAAAAUGUUAUUUUUUUGUUUAUAUUUCAACGAAAAAAGAACCUAUAAAGUAGUACCAGGGCAUAUGCAAACUAACUUCAGUCGUGGUCAAUUUUACUAUGGCCACGGUAAUGCAUAAUCCGUUAAUUUUACUACUAGCAUGGUAAAACAUUGGGACCUAGAAAUACUACAAACAUGGUAGAAAAUACUAAGAAGCGUGAAAAUUAUGCCAUGGUAAAAUUAACUGCGUUCAUUGCUGAAAUAAUACUGUAAUGUUGUCUGCUGAAAAUUGUGGGUGCUUUGCGGUCAAUUUAACCCCCUGAAAUGGUAAUUUCUACCGCAACUUUCUUUUGUGUGUAGGUUCGAUGCUGGAUGUUGGCAUUUUUUAUUUUUUUUUAAGAAAAAGGUCUCUGCUAUCUGCUAUUGUUUUGAUCUUGUAAUAUCUCAACGAGCUAUUAUUGAGCAAUUUACCAUACUAGAUUUUGCUAUUAUUUCUGAUAUUUUACCUCUUAUAUCAAUCAAACCAAUAUCAGUUUUUGUUCUUCAGUAAUUCACUCAGUUAUAAAUGAAUAUGCUAUUCAUUAGAUUUUUCCACCUACUCGGGGAAGCAAUUCGUGAGUGGAAAGCCAACACAAGGCUUACUCACGAUUCCAAACGUGAACAGUGUGUGAGUUUAUUCGCACCCGCCUGAUUCGCGAGUAAGAAGCAAAACGAAAACAAAAACACUCAUGAGUUUUUAUUCAUGUAGAACUAGUGUAGGUGCGAGAAGUGCAUUUUAGUGUGGGUAUAAUAGCAGAUCCAGUGAUUAUCCAUCAUAAACUAAUGCUUUAUGCUCCAUUGUUCCUCACUAAAGAAUCACAGGCGAUUGCUUGUUAGCUUCGUUUACUCACAAAUAAAGAAAUGCGAGUAUUCUCGGCCAAUGUUGUUCACGAGUACGGAUUAUUUUGAUUUGUGUCUGAUCAGCUGCAAUAUUCAUCAUUUUCCAUCCUUGGUUGGGUGGUUUUAAUUGAUUAAAAUAUACUCUUACCCUAAACUGACUUAAGUGUAUACAUUCUCUCAAUAUUCAUUGCGUUUUUUAUACACAUUUUCCAAUUCUCAAUAAAAAAAAAUGUUCGUGCAAUAAAACAGGUGUUUUCAGCAGUUCGUUAUGCAUUACGCUCAUAAAAUCUACAAAGAAGUUUGGCCAUCGACAUUCGACCACUGCGAAACGUCAUUCGUGAUCGACAAGAGCGGCAUCUCUUGAAAAGUGGCGAAAACCAUGAAUCUAUUGCAAAAUUAAAAUAGUAAUAACACUAUAUUGGCUAUGACGAAGAGAUAUAAGAUUUGUUGUCGAAGCCACUUUUCUCUUGGGAUUUGUUAUUAUGAAUUCGAUUGGAAAUCAAAAAACUUUUUUGGAGAAAAAUAUUUUUGCUAAUUUUGAGUUGUUUACAACAUACACCGGAAGUGACGUAUAUGAUAGUGCAUCAUUGAACGCACACAGCGCACCCCACCCGGUACUGAAAAAAAGUGUCGCUAGUCGAAAAGUGUCGCUAGUCAAAACGUCGCUAUUCGGUUUGGUGCUGGCGCCAUAAUAAGUGCCAUGUUGAAAUUAAGAACUUUCUCCCAACGCAGAUUGAACGGAUUCAAAAAAACCAUACUUACCUUUUCAUUAAGUUUGAUGCCCAUAUUGACAAGAACGAACGUAAGAUUGAUCGGGAAGUUUAUUCUAACAGUUCGCUCACGUGAUCGAAUUCCACGGAUUUAUCCUUCUCCGGGAUAAUGCAUGUUCACUGAGAUAAAAAAUAAAAGUCCCUCACUUCAGCACUCACGAUAAUUAUCUUUCUCUCUAUCCACUUUCACUUUUCUGUGCCGAAUCACAACUGUUACUGCAAAAGAUUAUCCGAAUAAACAACUAAGGGUCUGUGUCAAUUGGCGAAUUAAAAUUAAUUUUUACUUAAAUUUGACAGUUCAACACUUAAACUUGACACUUCUCCUAAGGAAAUAAUUAUCGAACUGUCAAGUUUAAGUGAAAAUUAUUUUUAAUUCGCCAAUGGAUCACUAAAAUAACUAAAACGGCCGCUAUGAAAUGAACAUAUAGCGCCACCGUAGCCUUGUGUGUUUGACGUAACUCGACUGCUGUUACUGUGUUGCCGUCCAUAUACGGUGGCGCUUUUGUUUUGAUGCGGUGAGUAGCGGAAAAGUCGGCUUCAAUGAUCCAUUGACACAUACCCUAAGUAUUAAAUGUUUCACUCCAUCUGAGAGUAAUAUAACGUCUCCACCGAUGUACGAGAUCAAUAAUUUGACGUUUAGUGGUACCGUGUAUACAUAAAAUGUAUUUGUUCCCAUGGCCCUCUAGAUCUGAGAGAGAGGAGACAGCUCACUGACAACCACGAUGUUUACAUUUCUUCUUCUUACUUCUUUUAACAAGUUUAUGCGCCGCACAAUGGUUUGAAAAUUUAUUUUUGGUCAAAAACGAUUUGCAUAUUGAAUUCACUGCAACAGAGCUUGGAAAAUGAAUGGAUUCGUUGCGCUGGUUGAGGAAAACUGGCCAUCAUAAUUUUAUCUUUUUUAAUUACAACAAACGGAGCAAAAUUUCAAUAAGAUCUGUUUGAUAUUUGGCCACUCCACAGCAUCAAUGUGCGAUUUUCAGCUCGGUUCGCGGUGACAGUUUGUGACAGGUCCUCCUUGACAUUAAGUAGCACGCAAUCGAAGCCAGCUGUCUCCUCUCUCUCAGCUCUAGAUAACACGUCACUGCACUAUAAGAUAUCUGGCGGACAAAAACCUAAAAAGUUACCCUCAUUAAAUCUUUUUGUUACAUUUUUUGCCGAAAGUAAACAUUUCAAUUAAGAAAAGCUCAAAGUUUCAAGUCUCUAGCACUUUGCGUUUCUGAAAUAUAGAAGCGGAAAUUUUCGGAAAAUCGAUCUUUUUACCGGAUAAGCGCGAUUUAUCCUAAAUCAAGGUUACUAUAAAAGCUGUUAGAAAAUCUUGACCACCUUUGGAUUUCAGGUGGUGCAAUAAUGUAAAUGAAGUACAGGAACAACAAUAGUAUCAGCGAAUUUCUUCAGGAUUACUGCAUUGAAUUUUCACAAAAUUUAGAAGCCGCAAAAUGUAUUCAAGUACUACACUAGGAGGAUUCACUUAACAGCGUAAACUGAUUAAACUGAUUAACCUUCCGUAACUCGCGCGGUUGACUACCUGCGUCAGCACCACGCUAAUGCUGAGUACAAAAAGCGAGAUUUUUUCAACGUGUUGUACAAAAUACAACAGCGCGAUCGUUCGAGGGUUAAACGUCGCGAUCACCAAGGCAGUCUUUGAUUAUUUCAUUCGCAAAAUCAUGAAACAUUUCAAAUAAGCAGAAAAUCAUGGCUUACGCAGCAAUUUAAUCUGUUGAGUGAGUACCCCUACUGUAAAAUUUAAAUAUAUUUCAUAACACCUCAUAACCUUUCCAGAAUGUGUUGCACCUAGGAAACGAAAUCUUGUAACCUCUGAAAAUAGGCAUAUGUACAUAUGGAGAGAAAAUGUAGAACAAAAACGAACGAGAUCAUAUCGAAAUCGAGAGACAUCGAAAUGUAGAAAAAUGUAUGCAGAUUGAAGGAACCGAUGAAACCAAUGAGAUAUGGAAAUAUAACGAGACGUAGAACAUCGAAACAUGAAAAGUCGACUGUAGACCGUUUUCAAAAACAUUUUCUGGAGAUGCGGGGCAUCGAUCCCCGUACCUCUCACAUGCUAAGCGAGCGCUCUACCAUCUGAGCUACAUCCCCUUGUUGAGUACUGGCUGUCUAAAAUGGAUCACAUUCAGAUUGUCGAUAAAGAAGAGUUUGCAGAUUUCAAAAAGAUCACCGCCCAACGUGGGGCUCGAACCCACGACCCUGAGAUUAAGAGUCUCAUGCUCUACCGACUGAGCUAGCCGGGCUGACAUCGGUACCGUAAGUGAAUUGGACAAGGUACGAUUCCGGGUAAACAUGAAUCAAUUUAGAAUUAUUUACUGACGAAUGUUUAAUAAAAAUGUAAUUAAAUACUGCAAACUCGAGAACACAAAAAGAGUCACAAAAAUAUUUUAUGCAAUUUAGUAUCAUAAUUUAUAUUUUAUAUAGCUCAUUUUGGUAUCAUAAUGGCCAAUUUUUCAGAACUGGUUCAUUAUGCAACUGAAAUGAGUUGCAUAAUGAAAAAUAGUUGUAUAAUGUUCAUAACUCAUUUGAGUUGCAUUAUGAACAUUAUGCAACUCAAAUGGGUUGCAUUAUGAAAAAAAUCAUUGCAUAAAAUUUUGUAUGAAACUCGUUGCAAAACUCGAUAUUUUCAGCACUCUUCGUAUUUAUCCAACUCGGCAGGCCUCGUUGGAUAAAUGUACGCCUCAUGCUGAAAAAAUCAACUUUUUGCAACUCGUUACAUAAAUAACUAUUAUAAAUGUCUAUGUUGUUAUUGUACUGUAUUCUUCAUUACAUCGUGAAACAUCACUUCCAAAAUGUUAGACAAUUCUCAGGUCACUUGACAGAUCACAACCAAAGUGAGAAAAAAAAUGAAAAAUAGAUUCUACUUUACCGACCUAGUUGUCGUCCUCUUCUCGGUAAUGUUACUACUGUCAAGAGACCUGAGAGCUGUCAAAUAUUUUGGAGGUUAUGUUUCAUAAUGAGAUAAAGAUUUAGGAAAAAUCAUUUGAAAAUGUAUGUAUGUAUUAUUAAUUAUCUUGUUCAUUUAUGAUUCUAUUAAUUUAUUUUUCUAGUACAUCUUUUUUAAUUUAGGCAAUCGGAAUUGUCCCGGCAAACGUCGUUCUGCCUGCCUACUGUGUUUUUUGACAUGCAGCUCUGUAGAAAAAUGUCCCGCAAAAUGAAAUUUCAAACUUUCUCGUUUUCGGUGCGUUCCCGGUCGAUUUUCCCACUUAUUUUUUCGUACGAACACGUCGGAGCCCUGCACAAAUAAAACAUUGAAAGAAUGGUGUAGAUCCGUUGACUUGUUCCAGAGCCUAUUCGUGACAUACAAACACCAUUCCAUUUUAAUUUAUAUAGAUAAUAGAUAGUUUAUUAUUGAUUCACCUGGUCGCCAGGGAUGGGAACACUCACUUUCAAAGAGUUACACUCACUUGCUAUUUUCUCAGCUCAGAAGCGUGCAAUCGAGAAACGAUGUAUGGACAACUUUCGCAUAGUGGUUUUGUCUAAAACUUUGCCGAAUAGAGUAGGGGUCGCACACGCAUACCAAAGUCGUGACAGAGUUGUAAAUGCGACUCUCCACGAGGUGAGUGUAAUUUACAUUCACCUCGUGGAGACUUGCCUUCGCAGCUCCCUCACGACUUCGGUAUGCUUGUGCGACCCCUACUCUAUUCGACAAAGUUUUAGACAAAACCACAAUGCAAAAGUUGUCCAUACAUCUUUUCUUGAUUGCACGCUUCUGAGCUGAGAAAAUAGCAAAUGAGUGUAACUCUUUGCAAGUGAGUGUUCCCAUCCUUGCUGGUCACAUUUUGUGGUUACAUUAUGCGUACCACCACCAACUGUCAAAAACAUUCUCUGGAGAUGCGGGGCAUCGAUCCCCGUACCUCUCACAUGCUAAGCGAGCGCUCUACCAUCUGAGCUACAUCCCCUUGAUGAACAUUGGCUGUCUCAAACGGAUUGAAUUCUGGAAGCAUUGAUAUGUCGAAAAAGAAGAGAUUGUAGAUCUCAAAAAGAUCGCCGCCCAACGUGGGGCUCGAACCCACGACCCUGAGAUUAAGAGUCUCAUGCUCUACCGACUGAGCUAGCCGGGCUUACACGUCAAUUAUCUAAUUCACAUAUCCAUGUGAAAUAGAAAUAGACGUAGGAUUUCUGGUUAGACCAUGAUCCAAGUUUUAUAAAAUAAUAUAUUAAAUAAGUUUCCAUUCCACUACUACAACUUCAUCAAUCAAUAUUCGAGAACAAAUAAAAAACCUUUAAAACGAAAUGCAAUAAAAUUUGUUGUUUUGUUCAAUUCACUAUGCAAAAUAUUAAGUGAAAAUGCUUCAAAAUAUUUACUGAGUAUCACCAAUUUUGAGUUAUUCUUUAUUCAACGAGCCUAACCUAAAAAUGACUGACAAUUCUCAGGUCAUUUUGACAGAUGUAACGUGAGCAUGAGAAGGACGGCAACAAUAUCGAUAAAGUAGAAUAUAUUUUCUGUCUUUUUCGUGCAUGUGUGUGGUCUGUCAAAAUUACCUGUGAAGUGUCAAACAUUUUCAUGGCUAGCUUUGUUGGUGUUAGAAUGGUGUAGGUCCAUUAACGACCAACUAUUUCCAAAAACAUUCUUUGGAGAUGCGGGGCAUCGAUCCCCGUACCUCUCACAUGCUAAGCGAGCGCUCUACCAUCUGAGCUACAUCCCCUUGGUGCGUCUCGGCUGUUUCUAUAGAUUUACUUUCUGUGAUCACUGUUCGAUGAUAAAAAAGAACUUUUAAAUAUUCAAAAGAAUACCGCCCAACGUGGGGCUCGAACCCACGACCCUGAGAUUAAGAGUCUCAUUCUCUACCGACUGAGCUAGCCGGGCUGACGUCGAUAAAGUAGUCAGGAUAGUUUUAGUAUGCUUUUGUUUGGACCAUGAAACACGUUUUAUAAAAAUGUGGAUGAGAUAAUUUCGUAACAGAAUUUUAAUAAAAUAUAUUGCUCAUUAGUUCUUAUUCACCAAUUUGGAUUUGAGAUAAAAUGAAGGAUUAUAAGAAAUACAAAAUAAAUCAAACAUUUUGUUAAUCAACUUUGACUGGGUUUGAGGUUAUGGUCUACGCUGGGUCAUACUUGUGAGAUAUGAUCCUAGAGGUCACGAUGUCAAGGUGUUGUCUAAAAGGCUGACAAACAAUCUUCAAAAACAUUUCUUGGAGAUACGGGGCAUCGAUCCCCGUACCUCUCACAUGCUAAGCGAGCGCUCUACCAUCUGAGCUACAUCCCCUUGAUAAAUAUUUGCGGUUCCCAUACAAUCACAUUCUGUGAGCACUGUUCGAUGAUAAAGAAGAACUUUUACAUAUUCAAAAGAAUACCGCCCAACGUGGGGCUCGAACCCACGACCCUGAGAUUAAGAGUCUCAUGCUCUACCGACUGAGCUAGCCGGGCUGGUGAGAUUUUAAAUUCAAACUGUGUUUAUUUGACCUAUAUAUCUUUCUAAAAUUUUCGAAAAGUGGUAUGUAAUAUAAUUAGGUUUUGAUUUGUAUAGUUGUUGACAAAUUUCAGAUAAAUCUAAUAACCUAACCUAAGUAUUAUUACUUAGAAUUAAAUCGGUAAUAUUUCACUACAUAUUAUUCAUUUAUUUUAAUAACUGAUACCCAUAUAUAUGUAAGAGAAUUUAAUUCAGGGCACUUAUAAAUCAAUCAAAUUUAAUUACUUUCACUGCAGCACCGCGCCUUACUCAUAAAAAAUCCUUUGGAGAUGCGGGGCAUCGAUCCCCGUACCUCUCACAUGCUAAGCGAGCGCUCUACCAUCUGAGCUACAUCCCCACGAUGAAAUACCGUGCAUCAGUAUGAAUCUUAUUUUACAGCACAUACACUUCCCGCAAUAAUAUCGAUAAAGAAGAUGCAAACCACAUAAAAAAAAAUACUCGCCCAACGUGGGGCUCGAACCCACGACCCUGAGAUUAAGAGUCUCAUGCUCUACCGACUGAGCUAGCCGGGCAUGUGCAGGGAUAGGUGACAGAAGAUGGCUUUCAGUCGAACAUCGUGACAAGGCCGGCUUCAUCAUGUUGGGUUUCUGCUAAAAAUCACUUCCACCAGAUGUUCACAGUCGUAUUCCAAUUGUAAACUAGAAUUCGCUACCUGGUGAAGUCCCUCCUCAAAAACAAAUACACACGCGAUUAUCGUUCGAGGGCAAUAAGAACAUACAAGUUCAAAUCUGAUAAUUUUUAUUAGUUGAAUUUGUAGGCAAUCUUAUAAGAUUCCGCGCGCACUUUUAUCAGAUCUCACCAAUUUUUCACUUUAUUUAAAAACUUUCCAGUUAAAUGCAGCACAUUAACUUGUCUUUUGGCUGAGGCGAAAAUGAUGUGUUCAGACACUCGUGUUGUUGUUGAUGCAAGCAAAAUAAUCUGCGACAAUAACUUUAAUCGCACCACUCCAACAUCUGCACAAACUGGCGCCGAUUGUCACACCAUACACUCUACAUAGGAACGGCGACGAUAACCACAGUUUUCAAACAGUAUUCGAAGCACGUUUGUCGCAUCCAUUAGGCGACCACCACCGGCGAGUCUCCACUCCCCACUCAACAACAUUAAACGGCUACCGUUGUUAGUAGUUGUUGUCGAAAUCAAAACGAUGGACCAGCAUCUGUCUGUCGGGAGAUUAGCAUUCUUAAUUCCAAAUCGAGCGCUUUUGGUGUGAGAGUGACCGAGUAAAAAAAAGAAGUCCGGGCUCAACCGGGAUUUGAACCCGGGACCUCUCGCACCCAAAGCGAGAAUCAUACCCCUAGACCAUUGAGCCGCUUGGUAAAGUAGGCUGGGCACGACCUUUGAAGAAAGCGAAAUUCCAACAAGAAAUCCGUUAUGGAAAGGUGGAUAAGCGUGCGUUCGAUGUCAGUCCAUCGCAUUCCCAACGUGUUUUCAUAACAUACUUAUGUGGCGGUGUUGGUAGCGACUUGAGCCGACGUGAAAUGCAUGCAACACCAACAUUGUUGUGUGCACUUGAUGACGAUGGGCGCAAAACAUGAGUUAAUCUGGUGAACGAUCACGUAGCUACCAAUUGGAAUCCACGGGAACGACCUCUUUUAACCCUUAUGUGGCCGACAGGGUACCCGGGUACCCAGCACCCAUUUAAAAUACACGGUGUAGAAAAAAGCAAAAAGUUUGCCGGCCACAUAACGGUUAAUUGGGUCAAGUAUGUGAUGGUUUCCGGGAUGGGGUAUCGGUCCAGAUAUCCGUGGGGAUUGGAACCUUCCAUGCCGAAUCGGCCCUUUUAAACCAGGCGCAUUCCAUAAGCGGUUUUAGACAUGCCAGUUGCUGCAUCUCCAUCUGUCCGACAUCGCCAUUGGGUGUGGUGCUUUAAUUAAGCUUCCAGAUUCUUCAGCGGACUACUUUGAUGACUUGCUUGAUUUUCCUGUGGGUUUCCCACUUCAUCAUCCACUUAACUUCAUCACAUAGAACCCAGCACGUCACGGAAACUCACCUUUCACCGUUAAAA